GUAGGAGCCAGGAUACGCAAACAACACAGAACAUUCACACAGCUAAAGACCAAAAGUGCAGAUCUGAAGAAAAUAAAACGCAACAGAUUUUUCGGCCGAAGCCCCGAGGUUCAGCGAUCAACAAGACCGCCUAAUCCCCGUUGAGCAUCCAUGGAGGAAUAAGCUCGAAUCCACUAAAUCAGCCAGCCAAAACCAACAAAGUAUCGAUUACAACGGAACACACAGUUCCACAAAUUUCGCACAGCACAACACAACAGCUUCUCUACACAACAAGAACUCACACAAGAGUUCACAGAGCUAAGUUUUUCUCUACAAAGAUCACUCAAGAUCAAUAACCCAAGGAAUCACAAGAAAAAUACAGAGAGAAACUCAAACCGAGAAGAAGCUGC
rnacentral:lncRNA from 1 species